UCUUUUAAUCCCCUCACCCCCGAGCCCUACCCUCUCCUCCCGAUUCUUUCCCUCUUCGCGACACCGCCUUAACUUUGCCGAUCCUCUUCCUCUGUCAUCUCCGUCAUCGCCGAGUACAACCGUCGCCGAGUGUAGUCGUCGCCGAGUGCAACCGUCACCGGAAGGAAGGAGCAACGCCUUCCCCGCGCCUCCUUUGUGCCCUAGCUUCCGACCCAUCGUCGAUCACCAACAAGAUCGCCCCGACCGGCUGGCCACCUCGCUGGUGUGGAUUUCCCCAAUCGCGCCGAAUUCUCUCAUCUCCUCUGUGAUCUUGCCUCUCCCGAUCUGGUCGCUGCCACCUCGACGCCUCCUUCUUAUUCUUGGUCGCAGACAUCAAGCAUCUGUUAGAAGCCGAGCACCCGAAUUCACCACUCUGACCGAGUCCUAGCCACCGAUCCAUCGUCGUCCGAUCGUGUUGGAUCCUUGCUUGAGGUCACCUCUCGAUCUCUCCUCCCUUCUCUCAGUCCUAAUUGUGUCGAUCACAGGUUGCUAGGCAUUGAUGCCGACGACCAUAGAGGAUCAGAUAUCACUGCUUCGUUGUCUUCCUCCUCACCUGCAUCGUCGCUACCCUGAUGCCAUCGCUCGAUCUAGAUUUAAUUGCUGUCGACCACUGUGAGCAGCCACCGGAAGAGUUGUGUGAUAUCAGGUAGAGGUAUGUGGAGUCACUUGGAGUAUCCUGUCUGUCGAUCCUACGUCACAUCCGAAGACCUAUUUUCGAUUUUAUUUGUACUUUAUUUGGUUUAUGUAUUUGGUGUACUUAGCAGUGUAUAUUCUGGUUUUGUUUCUGGAUUGUUGUGAUGUGGUGUCUUGUAUUGUUUUUAUUAUAUUGUGUAAGCUUAGCCGGCUAGUAGCCCUUGUUUUGUUUA